rnacentral:rRNA from 1 species
GAUCAUGGCUCAGGAUGAACGCUAGCUACAGGCUUAACACAUGCAAGUCGAGGGGCAUCAGUUUGGUUUGCUUGCAAACCAAAGCUGGCGACCGGCGCACGGGUGAGUAACACGUAUCCAACCUGCCUCAUACUCGGGGAUAGCCUUUCGAAAGAAAGAUUAAUAUCCGAUAGCAUAUAUUUCCCGCAUGGGUUUCUAUUAAUAAAAUAACGUU